AAAUUGGGUUAAGUGACCUGCCCAGGACCACACAGCUAAGCAAGAAACUGGCACCCAGAGCUACCAAGUUACUUAAGACAAGGGCUACCCGCCUGGCCUUUUGAUUCCAGGACCUCCAGGACUUUUUCCACCAUUGCUACAAUCAGAAGUUGGAUUGACCUCGCAGUUGCUCUGUGCCUCCAGGUUCUCUUUGUGUGGGAUUUGUCACUUCUACAAGCUCCACUCCAGGCAGUUUUCAGUGAAAAUGUUGGGGAUCCAAAAAAAGGAUGUUGGAUUCUUGAUGCAAGUGCUGAGCUCUUGAAGUCUCUUCCUCCUCAGAAUCUGUGAUUCUCCAAGUCUCUUCCAAGAUGCCUACUGCUUGGUAAGGAAGAAGCAAUUGACUGCACAGGGCAGAGACAGGUGGCAGCAUCUCCAUUGCCAGGACAUUCUAUCAUGUUGGACCGUAUAAAAGAAAUGGGUUUUAAGCUGUGACAACAUACAGAUGAGGAAACUGAAGUCCAAAGAAGAGAAGUCACU